GACGAACGCUGGCGGCGUGCUUAACACAUGCAAGUCGAACGGUGAAGCGCCUUCCUUUUUGGUGGGUGUGGAUGAGUGGCGAACGGGUGAGUAACACGUGAGUAACCUGCCCCCUUCUUCUGGAUAACCGCAUGAAAGUGUGGCUAAUACGGGAUAUUCUGGGUCUGUCGCAUGAUGGGUCUGGGAAAGAUAUUGUUUCGGUGGGGGAUGGGCUCGCGGCCUAUCAGCUUGUUGGUGGGGUGAUGGCCUACCAAGGCGGUGACGGGUAGCCGGCCUGAGAGGUGGGCCGGCACAAUGGGACUGGGAACACGGCCCAACUCCUACCGGGGGGCGGCGGGGGGGAAAUUGGAAAAAUGGGGGAAGGCUGGAGCCGGGGAGGCGGGGGGGGGGUGGAGGCCUUCGGGUUGUGAACCUCUUUCGCCAGUGAAGCAGGCCUGCCUCGUUUGUGGGUGGGUUGACGGUAGCUGGAUAAGAAGCGCCGGCUAACUACGUG
rnacentral:rRNA from 1 species